rnacentral:rRNA from 1 species
UACGAAGGGGGCUAGCGUUGUUCGGAUUUACUGGGCGUAAAGCGCACGUAGGCGGUUUGUUAAGUCAGGGGUGAAAUCCCGGAGCUCAACUCCGGAACUGCCUUUGAUACUGGCAAGCUAGAGUCCGGAAGAGGUAAGUGGAACUCCUAGUGUAGAGGUGGAAUUCGUAGAUAUUAGGAAGAACACCAGUGGCGAAGGCGGCUUACUGGUCCGGAACUGACGCUGAGGUGCGAAAGCGUGGGGGAGCAAACAGG